rnacentral:sRNA from 1 species
GUAACAGAAAAAGGCUUGCAGGGCGGUCGGCAUUCCUCCGAAGGGAGGUGAUGCCAUGGAAGUAUACCAGACUUUGAUGCUGAUGAUUUCAUUUGCAACAUUGGUAGUGUUAAUACUUUCAUUCCAUAAACGGAAAUAGACCGCCUCUGCCUAAGGAUUCGGUCUAUUCCGCACUCUUUGACGCCGUCCGCUCUUUAAGUGGCUGUUACAUUUGGAGUCAUGCGAACAACAUGGCUC